rnacentral:lncRNA from 1 species
ACCAGAAAGUUCACCAAUUUGGGAUGGUUGAGCUACAAAGGGAAAGAAGAAAGAAGUAGCUCAGCAAUACCCUCAUGUGCCACAUAUUGGAUGAACUAAUCAUAUGUUAUCAUUGGGGGGUCUUCCAUGAGAGGAGAGUGGAAUUCAAACAAACGCAACCCACUCAUGGAAUGGACAGUAAUUUCUUGGGUAGCUGAAGAAAUGAAAAGCCAGUGCUUGUUAUUUGGUGGCCUUGAGCACAGGGCCCUCUACACAGAAAGGACCAUUUACAUAAGC